AGGCUCCUUGAGAAAAAGAUUAGUGUUCAUGUAAUUUACAAUGAUAUUUAUCACUUUCUAGAAGGACGUUAUUUAUUUUUUUUUAA